AGAUCAUUUUUUUAUGUUUAGUUUUAUCAUUUCUAGGUGACUAAAAGCACUUGAACUUUGCUCUAUUUUCUAAUGUAGUUUUAGUAUUUUGAAUGCACUGUGACAAAUAUUUUGUAAAUGUAGUUUCAGGUUUUACAAUAAUGACUAUGAUGUACUCACAUUGAGAGGAUGUGUGUUUGGAUGUCAAAUGUGAUAAAGAGCGAUCAUGUAGGAAAAGCAUGACAUGAGGUGUGAUUACACCAAAGUCCACUGUGUUUAACAAUGUCCAACCACUGUACUGUAUAUUAGAAACAGCCAAUGUUACAUCUGUAGUUGUAGGACGAUACUGAGAAAAUGUUUCUUUCUUUAAAUCAGUGCUGUUUGAACUUUUUGUAAAAUUUUGAUACAACUUGACGUAGCAUUUUGUUCCAGCUUAAAAUGAAUGUUAUUUGAGUUUGUCUGUGUUCACUGUAACAUGACGGUCCAUUGUCAUGAGUGUGGAAAGCAUGAGGGGACAAGAGCAAAUUCAGUGUUUAUCUGGGUAUGUUUCGUCUAAAAAAUCUUAAAUAUAGUUUUAAAAGAUCUUACAACUUCUUUCACAAUGAUGAUAUUCACAUUCCUUUGAAAAUGAGCAACUUUUGUGCCACUUUUGACAGUAAGAAGACUAUUCAAGAUGUGAUACCAUGAUUCGUGCAGCCACCAGAGUAUGAAUGUUAGAUAGAAAUAAAGCACUUAAGCAUAGAAAAAAUUAAUUGUAUGAAUAGGUGUGAACGAGGUACCUUGCAUAAAGCACUUUGAUUGCUCAGCUAUAGUAGAAAAGCACUAUAUAACAACCAGUCCAUUUAACAUUUACUUUUCUCCACUUGUGUUAGCACAGAGAUGCUAAUUUCUUUCCUCUGUUCGCUAACAUCAACUACUCCAGUUUCUGGAACUGAGAUGACAGCUUCAUUUUCUCCAUCCUGUGUUUGAACAUUCUUGAUAAUCCAUUUCUGACCCGAGGCUGCCCGAUAAUCUUUCCUCCAUCUUACUUUUGAAACAUUUUUUAAUUCCCUGUUGAGACACUGAGUUACCAAAUAUGCUUCUCUACAUCCUAUUUUUUCCAUUAUAUUUCAGUUCACAUUGUCAGCAGGUUUCCAGAUACACUUUCCCUGUUCUACUUGUUAUAUUUGUCUGCUCAAUUUGUAUUUGUUGCCAAAUCUUUCUUUACACUCUGUUGAGCAUUCUCCUGUACUGUGUUUAGCCCCAAUAACAUUUAGCAAUUACAUGUUAUGAAAUAUAGCAUGUACUGUCUUCUGAAAGGACAAUAUAUAUUACUACUGUAUGGGUAAUAUACUCACACCCCUUAUCAGUUCAGGUGCUGUAGGAAACUGGUUCAAAUGAAAGAACGUUGCUACAAUCCAGCACCUGAUUUCAGCUCUCUGUUUUCACGGCUUAAGCAAGGCCAGUGUAUAUCUAGGCCACGACUUUCUUCCAUCUUCCUUCACUUGAAAGCUAAAUCUUUGUCAGAAAGUAUUACUCAGUGGUCUUAUCAUUGCAUUUCUGUUCUCUGCAAGCAUUGUUGCAUGCAGUUAUGUGUUCAAAUGUGUUUGAUCAGUACUGCUCUGACUACAAAUGGAAACCAGAUGGGAUUUUCUGCACUAUGAGAUCUUGAUUGAUUGAUUGAUUGAUUGAUCAAUGUAACAGCACAAUUACUUUGACACCCUUUGCCAGCUUCAAUGGCAGUUUUUAGGGCCAGCUGCACUUUCAGCACAACACUUAGCACUGCACAAAUGCCAAUCCAGCCAGGUUUGGGGUUUUUAUGGCAGAAUGUGGUUCUACACCAAACGACCUAAGUUCAGUCAGAAAAGUUUCUUCUAGCCAACAUCAGCUGUUUUCAAAUUUGUUCGGUAGUAAUAGUAGUUCUUUUCCAGAGGCAUAAAUCAUCAAGAGAGCCAUUUUCAUUCACGUAGACAACCCAACCUUUUUUGACAUAACCAUCUUAGACAGAAGCAACUGCUGUCUUUGACUUAACAUGACUAGAUUUAGAAAUUUGGUUCAUUUCAUCCCAGUUUCAACCUGCUUUUCUGAAUUUUCAGUCACUCCCUAUUCCUGUGAAUUAAAAUGCGUACCACUAUUCAUUACAAGCCUUCAACAUUAGAUGCGUUUCUCUCACUGUCUACAUUACCUUCCAAUCUCCGAUCCUAAAGGGUCAUUAGAAUUUAGUCGGUAUACACUCACAGCCACCCCGUGUAAAUCCAUUCUGCUUUCUUUGGGGAUCUGCCAGGGCCAGAAGCCACUGCUGAUUGUUGAAGAGGCGUUGGCCUAACUUGUUUCAUUUGGAGUUAGUAAAAGUUGAGAUUAAGUUCAUAGAAAUUCAUUUUUUUCCUUGUCUGUACUUUUUUGUGUGAUUAUUAAGUAAGUCUUAAAUUGGCUUCAUAAUUGUGUUUACAGCUCCCAGCUUAAAUUUAAUGUGUUGCAACCUGCAGAUGCACUGCAUUAUUUUGCAAUUACAUAGUUUUAUGUCUGUUGACUAUGUGUUGCCAUCACUACAAAAACUGUUUUAUUGUUUAUGACAUUAUAAAAAUAGAUUUGAACUCUUUGAAAAUAAUUUUUAAAUCUUUUUAUUGUGAUUAGACCCAAAUACUUUUUUUAUGUCCUCUCUGGCUUUCCGUGUGCAUGUGUGCAUUUGAGUAAAUGCUUGGCAUUGACUGUUUGUAAGAGAAAUGAAUUUGUGUUUUUGCCUGGAUAUGUGACCAUCCCUAAUACUGCAUUUGGGGAUUUGCACAGUACUUUUUUCCUUAAAUAAAUACAAUAAAAGUGAAUAAUGAACUACUGUGCAUUUACUGUAACACAUGCAGUAGCACACAUCAUAGAAUCA
ensembl:lncRNA